rnacentral:rRNA from 1 species
UCGGGAAUUUUGGGCAAUGGGCGAAAGCCUGACCCAGCAACGCCGCGUGAAGGAUGAAGUAUUUCGGUAUGUAAACUUCGAAAGAAUAGGAAGAAUAAAUGACGGUACUAUUUAUAAGGUCCGGCUAACUACGUGCCAGCAGCCGCGGUAAUACGUAGGGACCAAGCGUUGUUCGGAUUUACUGGGCGUAAAGGGCGCGUAGGCGGCAAUUCAAGUCAUCUGUGAAAUCUCCGGGCUUAACUCGGAACGGUCAGAUGAUACUGCUUUGCUAGAGUGCAGAAGGGGCAAUCGGAAUUCUUGGUGUAGCGGUGAAAUGCGUAGAUAUCAAGAGGAACACCAGUGGCGAAGGCGGCUACCUGGCCUAAUACUGACACUGAGGCACGAAAGCGUGGGGAGCAAACAGGAUUAGAUACCCACGUAGUCCCUGAGCGGGCUGGCAAGGCGCAU